rnacentral:tRNA from 1 species
UAGCUCAGUGGUGGUGUGCAUGCUUAGCGUGCAUGAGGUCUUGGGUUCAAUUCCCAA